GACGAACGCUGGCGGCGUGCCUAAUACAUGCAAGUAGAACGCUGAAGGAGGAGCUUGCUUCUCUGGAUGAAUUGCGAACGGGUGAGUAACGCGUAGGUAACCUGCCUGGUAGCGGGGGAUAACUAUUGGAAACGAUAGCUAAUACCGCAUAAUAUUGACUAUUGCAUGAUAGUCAGUUGAAAGGUGCAACUGCACCACUACCAGAUGGACCUGCGUUGUAUUAGCUAGUUGGUGGGGUAACGGCUCACCAAGGCGACGAUACAUAGCCGACCUGAGAGGGUGAUCGGCCACACUGGGACUGAGACACGGCCCAGACUCCUACGGGAGGCAGCAGUAGGGAAUCUUCGGCAAUGGACGGAAGUCUGACCGAGCAACGCCGCGUGAGUGAAGAAGGGUGUCGGAUCGUAAAGCUCGGUUGUAAGAGAAGAACGAGUGUGAGAGUGGAAAGCUCACACUGUGACGGUAUCUUACCAGAAAGGGACGGCUAACUACGUG
rnacentral:rRNA from 1 species